GACAGAGGGUGCAAACGUUGUUCGGAAUUACUGGGCGUAAAGCGCGUGUAGGCUGCUUCGAAAGUCGGAUGUGAAAGCCCUGGGCUCAACCUAGGAAGUGCACUCGAAACUUCGGAGCUGGAGUCUUGGAGAGGAAGGCGGAAUUCUCGGUGUAGAGGUGAAAUUCGUAGAUAUCGAGAGGAACACCGGUGGCGAAGGCGGCCUUCUGGACAAUGACUGACGCUGAGACGCGAAAGCGUGGGGAGCAAACAGG
rnacentral:rRNA from 1 species